rnacentral:rRNA from 1 species
GACAGAGGGGGCAAGCGUUGCUCGGAAUUACUGGGCGUAAAGCGUGCGCAGGCGGUUUUGUAAGCCAGAUGUGAAAGCCCCGGGCUCAACCUGGGAACUGCAUUUGGGACUGCAAAGCUGGAGUACGGCAGAGGGAGGUGGAAUUCCACGUGUAGCAGUGAAAUGCGUAGAGAUGUGGAGGAACACCGAUGGCGAAGGCAGCCUCCUGGGCUAGUACUGACGCUCAUGCACGAAAGCGUGGGGAGCAAACAGG